rfam:Ornithorhynchus anatinus chromosome X1, whole genome shotgun sequence.
CCCCUCUCUGGGUCACAUCUGGAGAGUUUCCAGUACUCACCAGUCUCAGCUGUGGGAGGGAGAGUCAAGCAGAGGCCUACCCAUUCCAUUCCUAGCUUGGCCAAUGGCUAGCGAGUGGAAGGCAAUCUCCUACAAGU